ACCGAGGAGGUCAGUAGUGCUAGCAGUUGCAGAGUCAGUCAGCGUCUGCCAGGAGGUGAGUAGAACUAAACUUAAUGUUUUAUUUUAAGAAAUUCUAAUGCCUAAAGCAUGAGCAUGCAUCAUGAUUAUGUAUAGUAGGUUGAUUGCACUAGUUCACGAAUAUGUCGCAUUGCAUUAUUUCAUGUUGAUGCUGAGGAAGGGUGGACCGAGGCGACUUCAAUAGCCCAUAUCUGUCACGAGUCUUGUCUUAGUCCUUUGAGAGCCGGACAAGUACAUGUAGGAAAGUCCAUGUGAGCUCUCUGUGGACCAGACACCAUGUCAUGUAUGUUACAGGCCUUUGUGAGCUCCUAUGGGGGAGCCGGGCACCGACAGAGGGAUUUUUUGAUGUCAUGUCCAUCCUCUGAGAGGAAAGAUGCAUGCAAAAAGACAGACUCUCAGAAACCAGGGUCCGUGGGGAAUAAAUAUUGCAUGAGCCCCGAGACGGACAAG
rnacentral:lncRNA from 1 species